UAAUAACGAUAAAAAAAAAAAUAUAUAUAUAUAUACUAUUAUAAUAAUUAGUUAUAAUAAUUAAUUAUAUUAAUUAUACAUAAUAGAUAAGUUUUAUUUUUAUUAUUUAUUUAUUUAUUUUAUCAUUUUAAUUUUGUAUUAAUUUAAUUAUUAUUAUAAUUUUUUUUUGAUUGAAUUAACCAAUAAAAAAUAGAUAAUCAGCUGUGCAGGGUGUAUUCAACAAACGAUAAUAAAUAAUAAUAAAUAAUAUAAUAAUAAUUUAUAAUUUAAUAACAAUAAUCAUGUUGUAAUAUAAUCGUGUUAUACGAUAAUAUUAUGUUGUUGGAGUGUUGGUAUGUAUUUAAGAAAAUAAUAAUAACGACGUGAACUAGGUAAAUUAUUGUCGUGGAAAAUAUUAUAUAUUUAUCGAAUGUUAUAUUAUUAUUUAUUAUUUUUUUUUUUUUCUAGUUUAAAUACAAGACUGCUGGUCUAUGAACAAAAUAUUAAUAUAGACGUGUCUAAAAAAAGAAAAAAAAAAAUUUAGAUAAUUAUUUAAUAAUGAUAUAUACGAAGGUACACAUUAUUGUAAUAGGUAAAAUGUUUUUCGCGUUAUUAAUAUUUGUUAAUUUAUUUAAAUGGAUUAACAUAAUAUUAUUAUUGUUAUUAUUAUUGAUUUAUACCAACACCGCCGCACUGUACGAUGAUAAUAUUAUAUUGUACAAGAACGAUGUGUAUUCCUAUAAUAUUUUAAUGACCUAGGUGUGUAAAUUUGAAUUUGGCAGCAGACAAUAAUAAAAUUAUUAAACGGGGAUAAUAAUAAUAUAAUAUUACCUAUACGAAUGUCGUACGUUAAUAAUAUAUUAAAACUAUUAAUAUUAAUAUUAUAGAUUAAUUUUUAAUUGUUAAAUUAGUUAUAUUACAGUGUUUAUAUAUGUGUAUAUAUAUAUAUAUACACACACACACACACACACACACACACACACACACUAUAAUAUCGAUUUAUUGUUAUGUUAAUAAUAAUACGCGUUGUUUCGAGACACCCGGAUAUUGUUCUUAUUUUUUCUGCCAAUAUCGUUAAAACGUGUACAAUAUUAACGAAUAUAAUUAAGCGAAAAAACAUAAUAAUUCAUAUUUUUGCAGACCGCAACGACUAAAUUGAUUUUUUUUUUUUUUUUAAGUAAGAAAAAUUAUUAAGAAAUAUAUAUAUUAUAUACCUAUAAUAAUCAGUGCUCGGAAUGGAGGCUCAGUACGCUAGCUGUUCCGGUUAUGGUAAAAAAAAAACAGAUAUAGGUGUAUUAAUUAUACAGUAUUAUUAUCGUCAUUCGGAUGGUCCAGUAACAAAUUGUUUCCGAAAUCUCUGGGGAAAAAAAAAAAAUAAUAACACUUUUAUUGUUCUUCAUUUUGUACAUAUUUGUAUUUUAUUUUAUUAUUAUUAUUAUUAUUAUUUUUUUUUUUUUGAUGGUAGAAAACCGAAAAAAAUAUACUCAUAUGUUUUAUUGUAUUUAUUUAUUUAUUUAUACCGUUGUAAAAUAUAAAACUAAUUUUUUACUAAAUUCGAUUAAGUAUAUUUUUUAAAGAUAUGUUAGGUUAAUAAUAUUAUGUUUUUAGUGUAUCGUAUUAUUAUUAUUGAUAAGAUGUAAUUAUUAAAUUAUUAAUAUUUGAUCGCAUCGUAAUACAUGACAACUUAGAGAUUAUGUAGUAUAGGUUAGGUUAGGCUAUUCUAAAUUAUAUUAGAUAUAUUUAAAAACAAACUUAACUCAUCUGUUCGAUUUUUCUUUUUUUUUUAUAAUUGAAUAAGAUAAAAUUCGAAACCGCGCAGAAUCGUUUUUUUUUUUUCUAUUUCGAGCACUGAAAUUAAUAACCCCAUAUUGUUCCUAUAUAUAAAAAAAGAAAAAAAAAUACUGAGUCGUAUUAAUUAUUAAUUUAAAAUAGAAGUUUAUUAUUAUAUUAUAUAAUAUGUAUAUAUAUAUAUAUACAUAUAUAUUAUAUAUAUAUAUAUAUAUAUAUUAUGUUGAAUAUGUAUGAAUGUAAAACACAAAAUAACCGCAUACGAUAAUAAUAUUAUGUUAUUAUAUUAUGUACUAUAUUAUACUGUACGAUAAUACACAUCAAUCACGUAAUAUUUUUAGCGAAAACAAAGAGAAAAAAAAAAAUCAUCGUGAUACACGGUAACAGACACACACAGACAUACAGACACACAGAAACACAGACACACAGACACACAGACACACACACACACACACACACACACACACACACACACACACACAAACAGUCACAAACAUACACUUACACACUCACAUAUUAUAUUAUACAUAAUUAUUAUUAUUAUUAUUUCUAUAAUGUACAUCUACGGUAUAAUAAUAUUAUGUACGAUUUACAAUAACGAUUGAUGAUGAUGUUAAAUAUAGUAAUGAAUAUUAUAAAUAUAAAUAAAAAUUGUAUUGAUUUUUGUCUCA